UAUAAUAAGUAUAACAUAUGAUGUUGACAGAUCAUUGAUGUGUGCUGAACUCAUCUAAACAUUAAUUGAUAAACAAGCCGUGAUUAAAGCCCGUAUCUAACCACCGAGAUGUACCAAAUUGUCCUCACUAAUUUCUAAUUACUGCAAAUGAAAAACUUCUAUUCACAGACGUUAAUUGAAAUCGAUAUGAUAUUCAUGUCAUAAAUCAAAGUGGGAGGCGUGGAGUUGAAGAGCGUUCUUUUCUCAAACCAAAUUUCACCCGGGGAUGAUUUAUAGGAAUUCAGGGAGUUACGUUUAACUGAUUAGCUUUUUUUCAACUUACUUAAAAUUGUGUUUAAUUAAUUGAUUUUUUUCGUUUUGCUACGGGAGGAAAAUACAAAUCUGACGCAGGUUAUAUCUAGACGACUCGAUUUUCUUUUUAUUGAAGCAGAGACAUAGAUAACAAUUCUUAUCUACAUAUCUGAUUGAAGCAAAGGAAUUUAAAGGAAUACUUCAGAGUUCAGAAUGAAAUCUAUGAAUCAAGUGUUGGCGCUUUUCCUUCUACAUGGAUUAAUUCAGUACGUACGGGCGGACGAUCAAUUUCUGUGCUGUAUGAAAGGGAUAAAAGCCAUCCGAAAUAUUGCCGUCUGUCCGGCACCGUGUUGUUACGGAUAUGAGGAAAGAACGUUUUACGCAUCAGUUUUAUCAAGAAUAUCUUUUUGCGAAAAGAAAAAAGAGGAGAAAAUAGCUGACGAGUUUAUUAACAUACACGAUGAAAACACCUCCGAAUGAAGGAGCCUCUAACAAACAUGGAAACUUCAUCAACAUUCCUGAAAAUUCAGCCAGACAUAUUCGUAGAUUUCAAAGGAAGCAUCCUAAUUAUUCAUCAGAAGAUAACAAUAUGUCACAUUAAUUUGCAAAUUUUCCCAGUGAUGCUAUUUCCACAUGAGAGAUUAUUCGCAAUUUUUGAGAUCUUCACUUCACAAAAUGUAUAGAAAAAAUUAAAGAGAGUUUUCUGCAAGAAUUUCUUUCAAAGCAGUUUUACUUAAAAAAAAGGUUAAUGAAAUAUAUUUAAUAUUUUUUAUAAUUUACAGAUAAUACACAUUAUUUCUUUCACUUACUUUUUAGUAGUUUGUAAGUCUCCUUUAAAAGAAAAAUUAAUGUAAAUUAUAAAAAAUACGGUGUUCCGUUGGGACCAUCGUUUCUUUCUAUCGGUCGUAAAACGCCAAAGCGACAAGACGAUUCGCCAAAGCUACAAAACGCUGUAUGUCGAAGCGAAGAGGCGAACAAAGGACGCAAUAGAGUGACAAGACGAUGCAAUGACAAAUUUCUCAUUUUCGUAUCUUCUUGUCGUUCCGGUGCAUUCUAUAGUCGCCUCGGUGUACUGUUUAGUCGUCUCGGCGGCAGUUUGGUCGCGUCAGCAUUUUGGAUUUAUAAGAAGUCGCCGAUGCGAAGGAACGAUGGCCCCUACGGAACACCGUAGAAAACUAAAUGAUUGUGGUUCAUGUUUUCUUGUUGUUGUUUUUUCCAGGGUAAUUGAAGACAUAAUUUUAAAAUGAUCACAUGUGGCAAUGUAAUUAUGUUAUAUUCACGAUAUUUUUGCUCCGUUUAAU